UCUCACCUGAAAGUUGACAACUUAUUGUGGAGCAAUUCAAAUAAUAUCUGAGCUGGAUGUUACCGAUUAUGCAAAGUUGGCCAGCUUGCCUAGAUCAGACCUACGUCUAUAGUAGUUCAUCGAUUAAUGUAGCAUGUUCUGUCAAUUAAAAACCUAAUACAAAAAUGUACUUAGAGUGGUAGAUAAGGUGAUAGAUAAUUGACUGACACAGAUUUGGAUGUGGUCAACGAAUGUACAGAUGUAGGAUCUUAAUUUUAUCACCCUGUUGCAGGAGAACUUUCCUGCAAUGCAUGAAAUGUACAACUUGUAGUGUAUUGGAGGUUUAAAAAGGCUUCUGAAGAUUGUAAUUUAUACUUUGAAAUUUCAGACUUGAUUUUCCCAUACGAAAAAUGUAUCAAGCCCUACAAAAAUGUACAUGAAUUAUAAUCCACAUAAUAAUGAACAUUUCUUGUUGCUGUGGGAUCCUUUUCCUGCUGUAGCAAACAGCCUCAUAUUAAGAACCUAGGAUGAGCAGAAAUGAUUUAUAUUAUUGAUAAUGCCCAUUUUCAAUAGCCUACAAGUAUUUGCCACCAUCUAGUGAUCAUUGUAAUACAAGGCAAAAUAUAAACGCAACAUGCAAGACAUUUUAUUGAGUUACAGUUCAUAUAAGGAAAUCAGUCUAUUGAAAUUAAUUCAUUAGGCCCUAAUCUAUGGAUAUCACAUGACUGGGCAGGGGAGUAGCCAUGGGUGGGCCUGGGUGGGCAUAGGCCAACCCACUUGUGAGCAAAGCCCAGCCAAUCAGAAUUAAUUUUUCCCCACAAAAGGGCUUUAUUAUAGACGGAAAUACAACUAAAUUUCAUCAGCUGUCCGGGUGGCUGGUCUCAGACGAUCUCGCAGGUGAAGAAGUCGGAUAUGGAGGUCCUGGGCUGGCAUGGUUGAACAUGGUCUGCAGUUGUGAGGCCGGUUGGACAUACUGCCAAAUUCUCUAAAAUGAUGUUGGAGGCAGCUUAUGGUAGAGAAAUUAACAUUAAAUUAUCUGGCAACAGCUCUGGUGGACAUUCCUGCAGUCAGCACCCAAUUGCACGCUCCCUCAAAACUUGCGUUGUGUGACAAAACUGCACAUUUUAAUGACCUUUUAUUGUCCCCAGCACAAGGUGCACCUGUGUAAAGAUUAUGCUGUUUAAUCAGCUUUUUGACAUGACACACCUGUCAGGAGGAUGGAUUAUCUUGGGAAAGGAGAAAUGCUCACUAAUUGGGAUGAAAACAAAUGUAUGCACACAAUUUGAGAUAAAUAAGAUUUUUGUACAUAUGGAAAAUGUUGUGAUAUUUUAUUUCAACUCAGGAAACAUGAGACCAACACUUUACAUGAGUAUGUCAAGAGUCAAGAGUGAUGUUAAGAAGUUUGAAGUUCCUACCAAACGAUAUCUAAUCAAAUCAUUGUUGACCUUGUUAACUCUAAUGACAUAACUUGGCUCCGAUUGGCCAGUGCUGGGGCAGAGUUUGGUCUUGCGUAGUUUCUGAAAACUGUUACUUUGUUGCGCUGGUAAGGAACCUCUCCAACAGACAUGUUUCUGUACAUCCUUGGACUGGUGGUGUUUUACUACCUGUACCGCUGGUUCCGGGAGAUCCCCAGAGUCCCAGACAAAGGAGACAAAUAUGUCUACAUCACGGGGUGUGACUCUGGUUUCGGCAACCUACUGGCCAGACAUCUGGACGAGCUGGGUUUCUGUGUGAUCGCAUCCUGCUUCACAGAGAAGGGAGAGGAAGAUCUGAGGAAGGCCUGUUCAGGCAGAUUCACCACCCUC